CUGUGCUAAAAUAAAACUGUACUGCAGUGAGAUUGAACUGAUGACACAGGUGAUAUUGGGAGAAAUGCCAUAGAGACCGCUCUUCUCCAGAAUCGGAGCUCCCGCUCAGCACCUACAAGAAAAUGAUCCUCAUACACUUGCUCAACACAGCCAAAUCACUGAUACCAGUACACUGGAAACAAAAACAACCCCCAACCACUAGCCAAUGGCUACAAAAAGUGGGAUAAAU